GGCUGGACUGAAGGUCCCGAGUUCCUUCAAUUGAUUGUUCAGUUACAAAUGGAACUCCUUUUUCUACUGUUUCUCCCUUUCUCACUACUGCACUGGACUAGUCUUUU
ensembl:misc_RNA Y_RNA Y RNA